UCCUACGGGAGGCAGCAGUGGGGAAUUUUGGACAAUGGGCGCAAGCCUGAUCCAGCCAUGCCGCGUGUGUGAAGAAGGCCUUCGGGUUGUAAAGUUCUUUAAGCGGGGAGGAAGGUCAGUCACUUAAUACGUGAUUGAAUUGACGUUACCUGCAGAAUAAGCACCGGCUAACUCUGUGCCAGC
rnacentral:rRNA from 1 species